UACAGAGACUGCAAGCGUUAUCCGGAGUUACUGGGCGUAAAGGGCGUGCAGGUGGUUCAAUAAGUUGGUUAUGAAAGCUCCUGGCUAAACUGGGAGAGGUUGACCAAGACUGUUGAACUUGAGUGGAUGAGAGGUAAACGGAAUUCCGCGUGUAGUGGUGAAAUGCGUAGAGAUGCGGAGGAACACCAGUGGCGAAGGCGGUUUACUGGCAUCCAACUGACACUGAGACGCGAAAGCAUGGGUAGCGAAC
rnacentral:rRNA from 1 species